CUGGGAAAUGCGUCUCGUUAUGGCUAGUGCACUGUAUGCACUUGCAUUGUGUGUGGCAGUUAGCUUGUUCAUUUUGAGCCCUUGGAUAGUGCGCGGGCAGCUGGUUGACGUAAUAUACGACGUUAACGUCACAUCAGAAGGUCAAUGCCAUUUCAAUGGAACAUACUAUCCUAACGGCAAUUUCAGUACGUGGUUUCCUAAGUGCUAUAUGGCAUUGUGCAACACAACAGUUAAAGAGCUGACGCUUGUUGUGUGCGAUGCGAAAUCGUACUCCACAUGUGAUAUGCCGGAACCGCCAAAGGAUGGAUACCCUGCAUGUUGCCCUGAUCCGAUCUGCUGAAGAGAGACAGCGAGCCAUAACAUUGAAUAAAGGGAACUGCGGGAAAGCCACCAAACUUAAAAUAUUUGUCUGAAGUU